GACGUAGGGCGCGAGCGUUGUCCGGAUUUAUUGGGCGUAAAGAGCUCGUAGGCGGCUUGUCGCGUCGUCCGUGAAAACUCACAGCUCAACUGUGAGCUUGCGGUCGAUACGGGCAGGCUUGAGUUCGGAAGAGGUGAGUGGAAUUCCUGGUGUAGCGGUGAAAUGCGCAGAUAUCAGGAGGAACACCAAUGGCGAAGGCAGCUCACUGGGACGAUACUGACGCUGAGACGCGAAAGCGUGGGGAGCAAACAGG
rnacentral:rRNA from 1 species